rnacentral:rRNA from 1 species
AUAAGGGAGCUUGACUGCGAGACCUACAAGUCGAGCAGGGUCGAAAGACGGACUUAGUGAUCCGGUGGUUCCGCAUGGAAGGGCCAUCGCUCAACGGAUAAAAGCUCCCCCGGGGAUAACAGGCUUAUCUCCCCCAAGAGUUCACAUCGACGGGGAGGUUUGGCACCUCGAUGUCGGCUCAUCGCAUCCUGGGGCUGUAGUCGGUCCCAAGGGUUGGGCUGUUCGCCC